CGAAAGCCUGACGGAGCCAGACCGCGUGAGGGAAGAAAGCCUUUGGGUUGUAAACCUCUUUUCUCAGGGAAGAAACCUGACGGUACCUGAGGAAUCAGCAUCGGCUAACUCCGUGCCAGCAGCCGCGGUAAGACGGAGGAGGCAAGCGUUAUCCGGAAUCAUUGGGCGUAAAGCGUCCGCAGGUGGCGUAUCAAGUCUGCUGUCAAAGACUAGAGCUUAACUCUGGAAAGGCAGUGGAAACUGGUAGGCUAGAGUACGGUAGGGGUAGAGGGAAUUCCCGGUGUAGCGGUGAAAUGCGUAGAGAUCGGGAAGAACAUCGGUGGUGAAAGCGCUCUACUGGACGGCAACUGACACUCAGGGACGAAAGCUAGGGGAGCG
rnacentral:rRNA from 1 species